rnacentral:rRNA from 1 species
CUGCUGCCUCCCGUAGGAGUCUGGUCCGUGUCUCAGUCCCAAUGUGGCCGUUCACCCUCUCAGGCCGGCUACUGAUCGUCGCCUUGGUGGGCUUUUACCUCACCAACUAGCUAAUCAGACGCGGAACCAUCGUAUACCACCGGAGUUUUUCACACUGCUUCAUGCGAAGCUGUGCGCUUAUGCGGUAUUAGCACCUAUUUCUAAGUGUUAUCCCCCAGUAUACGGCAGGUUUUCCACGCGUUACUCACCCGUCCG